rnacentral:hammerhead_ribozyme from 1 species
GCUGACGAGUCACAAAUAGGACGAAACGCGCGUCC